rnacentral:misc_RNA from 1 species
UCAGCAGUGAUUGUAGUGAUGUCCCUAUUGAAAAAGCACUGAAGAGAGGUGUGAGAGCUGUGGAACUUGAUGUAUGGCCGAAUUCAGCAAAAGAUGAUGUACUUGUUCUUCAUGGAUGGUAUGCAGCCGCUAUUAUGAAAGGGAGGAAGAAGAAAUCAUUAUCAUUUUCCCUUUUGAUUUCUUCCUUGCUGGAUUUUUUUUCAUUGGUGAUGAAUUUUAUUGCAACUUAUCAAUGUAGGACCUUUACAACUCCUGUGAAGCUAAUUAAGUGUCUGAAGUCAAUUAGAGAGCAUGCCUUCUCUUCAUCUCUAUACCCUGUGAUAAUAACUCUGGAAGAUCACCUCACUGAGAAUCUUCAGGCUAAAGCAGCUCAGAUGAUUACUGGGACAUUUGGAGACAUGCUAUUUUAUCCUGAAACUGAAUGCUUGAAAGAAUUCCCUUCGCCAGAGGAACUAAAAUGUAAGAUAAUUAUAUCAGCCAAACCUCCAAAAGAGAAAGGGGACCUUGAAGUUAAAUGCAUGAAGGGAAAGGGAAUUAACCCACUGAAGGAAAAAGAUUCUAGUGAAGAUAUAUGGGGGAAGGACCUAUUAGCCCUUUCAUCUAAUCAGGAAGAUGAUGGAAAGAGUGAUGGUGAAACAAGUGAACAGAAUCAGAAUGAUGAAUACAGAAAUGUCUGUGAUCAUGAACUGCGCCCACAAGAAGCACCUGCCUACAAGCAUCUAAUUUCCAUUAAUGCUGGAAAGCCCAAGGGUGGGU